rnacentral:rRNA from 1 species
AACGCUGGCGGCAUGCCUAAUACAUGCAAGUCGAACGAGAUCUUCGGAUCUAGUGGCGCACGGGUGCGUAACGCGUGGGAAUCUGCCCUUGGGUUCGGAAUAACAGUUGGAAACGACUGCUAAUACCGGAUGAUGACGUAAGUCCAAAGAUUUAUCGCCCAGGGAUGAGCCCGCGUAGGAUUAGCUAGUUGGUGGGGUAAAGGCCUACCAAGGCGACGAUCCUUAGCUGGUCUGAGAGGAUGAUCAGCCACACUGGGACUGAGACACGGCCCAGACUCCUACGGGAGGCAGCAGUAGGGAAUAUUGGACAAUGGGGGCAACCCUGAUCCAGCAAUGCCGCGUGAGUGAUGAAGGCCUUAGGGUUGUAAAGCUCUUUUACCCGAGAUGAUAAUGACAGUAUCGGGAGAAUAAGCUCCG